AUGGCCAUUUUCUUUGCCCUCUUGCACUAUGCAAUGUUCACAUUAGCAAAGAGCUCCUCAAGCAUUGUUUUCCUUAUGUCUCAUUGCUUCCAAUUGGGAUUUGCUCCGAUAAGCCUGGCAUAUUUGCUAGCAACUACAGUUGAUGUGACUAGUUUCUUUUCUCUUCGUGGAAUGCAAAGGUUCUUGUCCAUAAAGGUUGAGACCUCUUGCAUAUCAUCAAUGCUAAUGUUUAUGUCUUAUUCUGCAUCACUAGCAUACUUUGCUAAAAGCAGUUCAUCCACCAAAUCUGUUUCCACAAUCAUAACACUGAUAAAAGAAAAUUUGCUUCAUUUGUGCAUGGAAUAA
rnacentral:rRNA from 1 species